CCUUGCUCUCAGAACAGCCUCAGUUUGUCAGGGUAUGAACUCUAACAAGGUAUCAAAAGUGUAUCACAGGGAUGCUGGUCCAUGUUGACUCCAAUGCUUUCCCACAGUUGUGUCCAGUGGGCUGGAUGUCCUUUGGGUGGUGGACUGUUCUUGAUACACACGGGAAACCAUUACCAUACCUUAUUCAAGGGCACUUAAAUAUUUCGUCGUGCACCAUUUCACCCUCUGAAAUGGCGCACACGCACUAUCCAUGUUUCAAAAGGGGUACAAAUCCUUGUCUCCUCCUCCUCCUUUAUCUACACUGAUUGAAGUGGACACCAGGUGACAUCAAUAAGGAAUAAUAGCUUUCACCUGGAUUCACCACAUGUUAUGACAGGUUGUUAUGACACAUGUUAUGACAGGUUGUUAUAACACAUGUUAUGACAGGUUGUUAUGACACAUGUUAUGACACAUGUUAUGACACAUGUUAUGACACAUGUUAUGACAGGUUGUUAUAACACAUGUUAUGACAGGUUGUUAUAACACAUGUUAUGACAGGUUGUUAUGACACAUGUUAUGACAGUUUGUUAUGACAGGUUGUUAUGACACAUGUUAUGACACAUGUUAUGACAGGUUGUUAUGACACAUGUUAUGACAGGUUGUUAUGACACAUGUUAUGACAGGUUGUUAUGACACAUGUUAUGACACAUGUUAUGACAGGUUGUUAUAACACAUGUUAUGACAGGUUGUUAUGACACAUGUUAUGACAGGUUGUUAUGACACAUGUUAUGACAGGUUGUUAUGACACAUGUUAUAACACAUGUUAUGACACAUGUUAUGACAGGUUGUUAUGACACAUGUUAUGACAGGUUGUUAUAACACAUGUUAUGACAGGUUGUUAUGACACAUGUUAUGACACAUGUUAUGACACAUGUUAUGACAGGUUGUUAUAACACAUGUUAUGACAGGUUGUUAUGACACAUGUUAUGACAGGUUGAUACCGUACCAAA